GACGAACGCUGGCGGCGUGCUUAACACAUGCAAGUCGAACGGAAAGGCCCUGCUUUUGUGGUGUGCUCGAUUGGCGAUCGCGUGCGUAACACGUGAGUAACCUGCCCUUGACUUUGGUAUAACUUCAGGAAACUGGGGCUAAUACCGGAUAGGAGCUCCUGCUGCAUGGUGGGGGUUGGAAAGUUUCGGCGGUUGGGGAUGGACUCGCGGCUUAUCAGCUUGUUGGUGGGGUAGUGGCUUACCAAGGCUUUGACGGGUAGCCGGCCUGAGAGGGUGACCGGCGACAAUGGGACUAAGAUACGGCCCAGACUGGUACGGGAGGCAGCAGGGGGGAAUAUUGCACAAUGGGCGGAAGCCGGAUGAAGAAACGCCGCGGGCGGGAUGACGGCCUUCGGGGUGUAAACCGCUUUCGCCUGUGACGAAGCGUGAGUGACGGUAAUGGGUAAAGAAGCACCGGCUAACUACGUG
rnacentral:rRNA from 1 species